ensembl:lncRNA
AGAGCUGACUGUUCAUCGUGAUGAUGAAAAUGUUCUCUUCACUUGCUCUCUGCCUGGAUCUGUCAAUCAAAACACAAAAUGUAACCUGUACUUUGGAGAAGAAAGUCGUCCAGCAAUAACAACAAACGCCUGGAAACAAAGGAGCUCAAAAAACAAACAGUUCUGCCAGUUUACUGUCCCAGUAGAAGAUUUACUAAGACAUCUACGUUUAGUUCAACAAAAAGAUGCCAGCUGUGACUACAGUGUGGAGCGUGAACCAAAGUCUUUGUCUCCUCGCAGUGAUGGAAGAAGCCUGAGAUGUGAGUCAGAGAUCGUUUUUUACUAAAUGUUCAGAAACUUUUUACAAACAACAUAUUAUCAAUGUUCUUACAAUGUAGUAAUGCAUGAAUGACAAAAUGGGCACAAACAUUCAUUAUUUUUUUCUUUAAUGCAGACUUCAUAGAAAAAGAAUCACAUGUGACCAGAACAGAGUCAACAUUUACAGAGUCGGUAAAUGAGGACACCAGCAGCACUUCCACUCUGUCUACCACUGUGAGCCUGACUUCAGUCAGUCAGAAGCAGAGUGAUGAAAUUACCGUGUGUCUUCAAACACCAGAGAACCCAGCAGCAGG